rnacentral:tRNA from 2 species
CCGACCUUAGCUCAGUUGGUAGAGCGGAGGACUGUAGUUGGAAAACCAUACCAUGCUGAAAUCCUUAGGUCGCUGGUUCGAAUCCGGCAGGUCGGA